rnacentral:rRNA from 1 species
UGCGCAGGCGGUUUGAUAAGCCAGAUGUGAAAUCCCCGAGCUCAACUUGGGAAUUGCAUUCGAUACUGGUUGGCUAGAGUAUGGGAGAGGAUGGUAGAAUUCCAGGUGUAGCGGUGAAAUGCGUAGAGAUCUGGAGGAAUACCGAUGGCGAAGGCAGCCAUCUGGCCUAAUACUGACACUGAGGUGCGAAAGCAUGGGGAGCAAACAGGAUUAGAUACCCGAGUA